rnacentral:tRNA from 1 species
CCGACCUUAGCUCAGUUGGAAGAGCGCAAGACUGUAAUGGAUAUAAUGUCAUCUUGAUGUCGCCUGUUCGAGCCAGGCAGGUCGGA